UUUGUCUUGAAAACAAAUUUGAAGUGUUCAAUUCACUUAAUAACUUAGCAAUAAGAGAUAGAA
rnacentral:tRNA from 1 species